UACGGGGGGGAGCAAGCGUUGUUCGGAUUUACUGGGCGUAAAGGGCGCGUAGGCGGCCACCGCAAGUCGAUUGUGAAAUCUCCGGGCUUAACCCGGAAAGGUCAACCGAUACUGCGGGGCUAGAGUGCAGAAGGGGCAACUGGAAUUCUCGGUGUAGCGGUGAAAUGCGUAGAUAUCGAGAGGAACACCCUGCGGCGAAGGCGGGUUGCUGGGCUGACACUGACGCUGAGGCGCGAAAGCUAGGGGAGCGAACGGG
rnacentral:rRNA from 1 species